CCCGCACAAGCAGCGGAGCGUGUGGUUUAAUUCGAUGCUACACGAAGAACCUUACCAGGUUUGACAUACAAGUAGUAGGGAAGGAAACUGGACCGACCCUUCGGGGAGCUUGAACAGGUGCUGCAUGGCUGUCGUCAGCUCGUGUCGUGAGAUGUUCGGUUAAGUCCGCUAACGAGCGCAACCCUCGCUGUGUGUUACAAGUGUCACACGGAACUGCCGGUCAUAAACCGGAGGAAGGUGGGGAUGACGUCAAGUCAGCAUGGCCUUUAUAUCCUGGGCUACACACACGCUACAAUGGGAAGGGACAAUAGGUUGCGAAACCGCGAGGUGGAGCCAAUCCAGCAAAACUUCCCUCAGUUCAGAUUGCAGGCUGCAACUCGCCUGCAUGAAGUUGGAGUUGCUAGUAAACGCAGGUCAGCCAUACUGCGUUGAAUACGUUCCCGGGGCUU
rnacentral:rRNA from 1 species